rnacentral:rRNA from 1 species
UACGGUGGGGGCAAGCGUUGUUCGGAAUUACUGGGCGUAAAGGGUUUGUAGGUGGCUUGUUAAGUCAGACGUGAAAUCCCUCAGCUUAACUGGGGAACUGCGUCUGAUACUGGCGAGCUUGGGUGCAGGAGAGGAACGCGGAAUUCCAGGUGUAGCGGUGAAAUGCGUAGAUAUCUGGAGGAACACCGGUGGCGAAGGCGGCGUUCUGGACUGCAACUGACACUGAGAAACGAAAGCCAGGGUAGCAAACGGG